CAGGGAGACAACAAAAUGUUUAAUAUUAUUAUUUUGUCACCUUAGGUCGAUCGGUAUCUCACGUUCUUAAUUUGUUAAGAAUUUCAUUUCCUAAGUUUUUCUAGGUCACACCCAUUAUUUUUCCUGGGCCAUUAGCUCAGGUGGUUAGAGCGCACCCCUGAUAAGGGUGAGGUCCCUGGUUCAAGUCCAGGAUGGCCCAUAUCUCUAUGUUGGGGGUAUAGCUCAGUUGGUAGAGCGCCUGCUUUGCAAGCAGGAUGUCAGCGGUUCGAGUCCGCUUACCUCCACUGAUUACCACCUCUUCCAUAACUGGUAGAAAGGAAAUGUUUUGAGUUGUGAUUAUUAUUCUGAACGAAUUUAGCUUCCUAAUGAAAUCAUUAAGAUGCUGGACUCAUUGAAUUAAUUUCAUUGUUUUCAGAGAACCUUGACAACUGCAUAGAUUUUUUUAAAGACAAUAAGCAUCUUUAAUGAUGCAGAUUUAUUAUUUGUGCGAAUGCAUUAAUAACAAUUCUAUUAAGCUGAUGCUUCAAUUUUUGAAGUUAUU
rnacentral:tRNA from 1 species